GGCUGUAGCUCAAUGGUAGAGUGCUUGCCUAGCAUGCAUGAAGCUCUAGGUUUGAGCCAUGGUAUGUGA
rnacentral:tRNA from 1 species